rnacentral:rRNA from 1 species
UACGAAGGGGGCUAGCGUUGCUCGGAAUCACUGGGCGUAAAGCGCACGUAGGCGGAUUCCUAAGUCGGUGGUGAAAUCCUGGAGCUCAACUCCAGAACUGCCUCCGAUACUGGGAGUCUUCGAGUCCGGGAGAGGUGAGUGGAACUGCGAGUGUAGAGGUGAAAUUCGUAGAUAUUCGCAAGAACACCAGUGGCGAAGGCGGCUCACUGGCCCGGUACUGACGCUGAGGUGCGAAAGCGUGGGGAGCAAACAGG